GUUAAAUUUAAUUAUGUUUUAAUUAUUGAUUAAAUUAACAUAUUAUAUAUAAUUAAUUAAAAUUAAAUAUAUUAAUCAUUGAAGUAGAAUUAAUAAAGAAAUCUAGAAAAAUUAACGAAAGUUAAAUAUGGGGAUUAAAAUUAAUAAUGAUAAAUAAAGUGCCAGCAAUAGCGGUUAAACUUUGAUUAUAAGUCAAUAAUUAACGAAACUCUAUUUAAGUUAUAUUUAAUAAAGAUUAAACCAAAGGUUAUAAUUGUAGGUGAAAUUUAAAUUAUAAGGCAUGGUUUAAUUUAGAAUAUAAAUAUAUAAAAAAGUUAGUAAUUAAACUAGGAUUAGAUACCCUAUUAUUCUAACACACUUGUAAGUUUUUACCAUUAAAUGUAGAAUCAUUAAAAUAAAAUAAUAUGGCGGCCUGUUAAUCUUUUUAGGGAAACUUGUCAUUUAAUUUGAUGAACCACGAUAGGAAAUACUUGAAUUAAUACUUAUGUAUUGUUAUUUUAAUAUAUAGAGAAAAAUCUUAAUAUGUAUGAAUAUUUGAUAAAAUAAUAAUUUAAAUCAAAAUGUAGUAUAUUCAAGGAUAGAUGAGUUGCAAUAAAUUUUAUUUUUGGAUAGACUUUUUUAAUAUUGUCUUGAAAGAGGAUUUAAUAGUAAAAUGAAUAAAUUAUUUCAAUUGAAUAAAGUAAUAACUGGUGUACAAAUCGCCCGUCAAUUUUGUAAAUAAAUAAGUCGUAACAUAGUAAAAGUACUGGAAAGUGUUUUUAGAUAAAA
rnacentral:ncRNA from 1 species